UACGGAGGGUGCAAGCGUUAUCCGGAUUUACUGGGUUUAAAGGGUGCGUAGGUUGAUUGGUAAGUCAGUGGUGAAAUACUACAGCGCAACUGUGGAACUGCCAUUGAUACUAUCAAUCUUGAAUGCAGUGGAGGCAGGCGGAAUGUGUCAUGUAGCGGUGAAAUGCUUAGAUAUGACACAGAACACCUAUUGCGAAGGCAGCUUGCUACACUGUGAUUGACACUGAGGCACGAAAGCGUGGGGAUCAAACAGG
rnacentral:rRNA from 1 species